ACGGCGAGUGAAGCGGGACUAGCUCAGGAUGUGAAUCUGCGCUUUUAAGGCGCCGAAUUGUGGUCUGUAGACUUUGACGUUAUCUGCCGGCCCAAGUUCCUUGGAAAAGGACAGCUGAGAGGGUGAGACUCCCGUCCGGCUGGUAGAAUGAGUCAUGUGUCAACGAGUCGAGUUGUUUGGGAUUGCAGCUCUAAUUUGGUGGUAAAUUCCAUCUAAAGCUAAAUAUUGGUGGGAGACCGAUAGCGUACAAGUACCGUGAGGGAAAGAUGCAAAGAACUUUGAAAAGAGAGUUAAAGAGUACCUGAAAUUGCUGAAACGGAAGCGAAGGAAACCAGUGUUUGUUUGUUCAUAUUUCCCUGGCCACUUGUGGUUUGGGCGCUGUGAGCUUGCGUGGGUUUGCUUUGGUUGAAUCUUUUGGAAGAGCGCAGACAGAGUUGAUGUCUGUUGCUAGC
rnacentral:rRNA from 1 species